AAAAAAAAGAGAAAGAAGAGAAAAAGAGAAAAGAAAAGAGGAAAGAAAAGAAAGUGUCAGAAGAAGAACAACUUCUUCAAUUUUCUUUUCUCUGUGCCGUGAACCCAAGAGAAGAGCCAUCUUCUUUAUUUUCUUCCUACACCAAAAAUUUCUCCAAAUUUCCAUCUUCAAUCAACUACCCAUCUUACCCCAACACCUUUUCAAAGAAGAAUUUGAAGAAAAGAAGAGAAAUUAAGAGAAAAUUUCAAGGGUGAGAGGGGAGUGAAUAGUAACCAAGGGUUUGAAAUUUAAAGAAGAAGUGGAAGGGAAAGGAAAAGAAAAGGAAAAUUAGGGAAUCUUAAGCUUGUGGAAGAUCUUGGGAAGGUUGUAGACCCAAGGAAUAGUAGAUCAAGAUCUGCAUCAACCCAGUCAGAGUUACAUCAUUGACUAUCUAGGGGUAUAUUUUGUAAAUUUCUAUAUGAAUUUGAUUUUGGAAAUAUGGCAUGUACAUAAAGUUUUGGAGAUGAAGUUGUAUAUGGUUAGUUAUAGAUAUAGUUGAAGAUUUUAAUUUUGGUAUAAAUGUGGAUGAUUAGUAUAAGUUUCUGUGUUGAGAUUAAUUAAAUGUUAUGAAGUGUUUGAUCUGAAUUGAAAUUUCAUCGAUGUUGAAAGAAGUUUGGGGGUUAAGGUUGAAAUUGAUAGAAGUGUGAUAUUACUUUUCACAGGUGAAAUUAAGUCCAUAUUUAAGGGGAAACUCUGCCGGAUUUUU